rnacentral:rRNA from 1 species
UACAGAGGGCUCAAGCGUUGUUCGGAUUCAUUGGGCGUAAAGGGUGCGUAGGCGGCUCGGUAAGUCGGGUGUGAAAUUUCGAGGCUUAACUUCGAAACUGCAUUCCAUACUGCGGUGCUUGAGGACUGGAGAGGAGACUGGAAUUUACGGUGUAGCAGUGAAAUGCGUAGAGAUCGUAAGGAAGACCAGUGGCGAAGGCGGGUCUCUGGACAGUUCCUGACACUGAGGCACGAAGGCCAGGGGAGCAAACGGG